UCCUUUCAAAAUGGCGCCGGCAGAACCGAAUAUGACGUCAGCGGCCGAGGCGGGGGAAGACUGCUGCUUCUCAAAUUUCCAUGCGGUAUUUUGAGUCCCACCCAUCUAUUGAUCAAAGCAUCUGAGCCAAGAUGGAAAGAAAACGUCCACUCUUUCAGGAACUAACUGCUUACUGGCAUUCUGUUCUUACAGUAUUACCUUUCUUGGAUACAGAAGAAGCUAGGUUUAAAGACAGUUCUAUUACAUUGAGUUUGCUGCUUCAGUUAGCAGAGACCAUUCAUGUUCUAUCUUCAAGACUGUACUUUGCUGCCAUCUAUGGAAAAUUGGAAAACCUUUGUGACUGAAUGUCUGAUGGCCAAUGCAU